rnacentral:rRNA from 1 species
CACGUGGGCAACCUGCCCUCAGCUCUGGGAUAACUCCGGGAAACCGGGGCUAAUACCGGAUACGACCUCGUCAGGCAUCUGUCGAGGUGGAAAGUUUUUCGGCUGAGGAUGGGCCCGCGGCCUAUCAGCUUGUUGGUGGGGUGACGGCCUACCAAGGCGACGACGGGUAGCCGGCCUGAGAGGGUGACCGGCCACACUGGGACUGAGACACGGCCCAGACUCCUACGGGAGGCAGCAGUGGGGAAUAUUGCGCAAUGGGCGAAAGCCUGACGCAGCGACGCCGCGUGAGGGACGAAGGCC